UACGGAGGGUGCAAGCGUUAUCCGGAUUUACUGGGCUUAAAGGGCGUGUAGGCGGGCUUUUAAGUCAGUGGUGAAAUCUCCGGGCUCAACCUGGAAACUGCCAUUGAUACUAUUAGUCUUGAAUAUUGUUGAGGUAGGCGGAAUAAGUCAUGUAGCGGUGAAAUGCAUAGAUAUGACUUAGAACACCGAUUGCGAAGGCAGCUUACUAAGCAAUGAUUGACGCUGAGGCACGAAAGCGUGGGGAUCAAACAGG
rnacentral:rRNA from 1 species